CGUGCAGGCGGCCGGCCAACGUCUGAUGUGAAAGCCCGGGGCUUAACCUCGGAAGGGCGUUGGAAACUGGUUGGCUUGAGUUCGGGAGAGGAAAGCGGAAUUUCGGGUGUAGAGGUGAAAUUCGUAGAUAUCCGGAGGAACACCGGUGGCGAAGGCGGCUUUCUGGACCGAAACUGACGCUGAGACGCGAAAGCGUGGGGAGCAAACAGGAUUAGAUACCCUGGGGGGGGGGUUAUCCACGCUGUAAACGAUGGGCACUAGGUGGUUGGGGGUUUUUAAUCCCUCCGUGCCGCAGCUAACGCAUUAAGUGCCCCGCCUGGGGAGUACGGCCGCAAGGUUAAA
rnacentral:rRNA from 1 species